CGGGACGGGGUGAGUAAUGUCUGGGGAACUGCCUGAUGGAGGGGGAUAACUACUGGAAACGGUAGCUAAUACCGCAUAACGUCGCAAGACCAAAGAGGGGGACCUUCGGGCCUCUUGCCAUCGGAUGUGCCCAGAUGGGAUUAGCUAGUAGGUGGGGUAACGGCUCACCUAGGCGACGAUCCCUAGCUGGUCUGAGAGGAUGACCAGCCACACUGGAACUGAGACACGGUCCAG
rnacentral:rRNA from 1 species